rnacentral:rRNA from 1 species
GGAUUAGAUACCCUGGUAGUCCACGCAGUAAACAAUGAGCACUAGAUGUCGGGUGGGCAACUACUCGGUGUCGUAGCUAACGCGCUAAGUGCUCCGCCUGGGGAGUACGGCCGCAAGGUUGAAACUCAAAGGAAUUGACGGGGGCCCGCACAAGCGGUGGAGCAUGUGGUUUAAUUCGAUGCAACGCGAAGAACCUUACCUGCCCUUGACAUCUGGCGAACCUGGCUGAGAGGUCAGGGUGCCUUCGGGAGCGCCAAGACAGGUGCUGCAUGGCUGUCGUCAGCUCGUGCUG